ACCCAGCAUGGUGGCACGUGCCUGUAGUCCCAGCUACUCAGGAGGCUGUAGUGGGAGGAUCAGUUGAGUCCAGGAGUUCUGGGCUGUAGCGCGCUAUGCCGAUUGGGUGUCCGCACUAAGUUCAGCAUCAAUACGGUACCUCCCGGGAGUCCGUUGCCUAAGGAAGGGUGAACUGGCCCAGGCUGGAAACAGAGCAGGUCAAAACUCCUGUGCUGAUCAGUAGUGGGAUCACACCUGUGAAUAGCCACUGCACUCCAGCUGGGCAACAUAGCAAGACCCCCAUCUCUU
rnacentral:SRP_RNA from 1 species